UACGGGGGGAGCAAGCGUUGUUCGGAUUUACUGGGCGUAAAGGGCGCGUAGGCGGUCGUGACAAGUCACUUGUGAAAUCUCCGGGCUUAACUCGGAACGGUCAAGUGAUACUGUCGGACUAGAGUACAGAAGGGGCAACUGGAAUUCUCGGUGUAGCGGUGAAAUGCGUAGAUAUCGAGAGGAACACCUGCGGCGAAGGCGGGUUGCUGGGCUGAUACUGACGCUGAGGCGCGAAAGCCAGGGGAGCGAACAGG
rnacentral:rRNA from 1 species